rnacentral:rRNA from 1 species
UACGAAGGGGGCUAGCGUUGCUCGGAAUCACUGGGCGUAAAGCGCACGUAGGCGGCUCUUUAAGUCAGGGGUGAAAUCCUGGAGCUCAACUCCAGAACUGCCCUUGAUACUGAGGAGCUUGAGUCCGGGAGAGGUGAGUGGAACUGCGAGUGUAGAGGUGAAAUUCGUAGAUAUUCGCAAGAACACCAGUGGCGAAGGCGGCUCACUGGCCCGAUACUGACGCUGAUGCACGAAAGCGUGGGGAGCAAACAGG